UACGAAGGUCCCAAGCGUUAUCCGGAUUUAUUGGGUUUAAAGGGUGCGUAGGCGGAUUGUUAAGUCAGUGGUGAAAGCUCCCGGCUCAACCGGGAAAUUGCCAUUGAUACUGACGAUCUUGAGUGUGGUUGAGGUGGGCGGAAUGUGUCAUGUAGCGGUGAAAUGCUUAGAUAUGACACAGAACACCGAUUGCGAAGGCAGCUCAGUAAGCCACAACUGACGCUGAUGCACGAAAGCGUGGGGAGCAAACAGG
rnacentral:rRNA from 1 species